UUGUAUUUGUACAUUUGUUUUUUUCGGUGGGAUGUCCAUGUGGUUUCCACGUGUUAUGUCCACCGUUCACUAUCUGCUCUCCACUCAAGUUUCAUCCACCGCUUCCACUGUCUGCUUUCAUCUGCUUAUCUUUCUUCAUGAGCCCUUCGUCACAGGUCAACCCGAAAAGGGUCUCUCCAUCACCGCCCUACAGGCGAUCGCUCACCACCAACUCUACCUCUUUUGUGACCCUUCUCCAACCUUCUUCUACGCGGAUCCUCUUCGUUCACGUGAUGCUCUCUUCAUAAACCUAAAACUCUUUUUUGACAUCGAUGGAGGGGAAAUGAAUGUUAGAGAAGAAACAUAAAGGAAAUUGGUGGCGAUGGUGUUUGUCAUAGUCGGAGAAAAACGGUGAUGGAGGGGAGCUGGUGACGCUGGCGCCAAAGUUGCGUCAACAGGUACCUGCGUUCCGCUCAUAUUCACCUUCGAUCAGAAACGUACGCUCGACUUUCAUCGUAUUCUCCUUCAAACCGUUUUUCCCACAGAUUAGGGUUCUAUUUUCGUUUUAACAAACAUCUCAGGUACCGGUACCCCGUUUUCCCUCUUUCAAUUUCGAUUCGUUUUUUGUCCUACAUAUACUUCUGCCUCCUCAAUCUCCCAAUCAGUUGUUUACAGAUUUCAUUACACCUACCAAACCUCACGGCCGAUGACCCGAAAGGAAUUGCAAGCACUGAUCGUAGACCAUCCAGAUGCUUAUGGGGCAUUUUCACUUCCCGAUCCUUCCAGCUCACUCUAUCUUUCCUCGCUCCCUGCUCCAGGGCGGAUCCACUCACACUCGCUACUUAAUCCCUCCACUGAUAUUUCUUCUCUCUUCCACCGUCUUCCAUAUCCUUCACCGUUUUUCUCUUCUCGCUACAACGAUGCUGUUUGAUCCAGUAGCAUUUAGGGACUCGAUCGUUCUGUUCGUGGAGAGAUACAAAGACCAAGAAAUCUCCUUUGUUGCUGGGUGCUGUUAGUGGGCUCCAAAAUCAACCAAUCAUUAAUGUUGUUAUUGAUGGAGAUGACAUCAUAUAUAGAGAUUACAUUGAUAUCAGUAUUGCUGUUGGUACUCCAAAGGGUCUUGUGGUUCCUAUGAUCCGUGAUGCUGAGAAAAUGAACUUUGCUGAAAUAGAAAAGGCCAACAGUGGGUCCCUCUCAAUUGAUGAAAUGGCUAGGAAUGUUCAUGGUUAAUUGUGUAUUAUUCCAAACAGGUAUGUUAGAGAUGAGUAUGGAUAUUUGUCUGUGUUGAAGUAUGAUAUUGAAGAAGGGAAUAUCCAACCCAUGUCCUAUCAUCUUCCUCCAGAUCUUAGCUGGCACCUUUUUUACAUAAUUCAUACACUUAAUUAUCACUACUUUCCAUUUUUCCAUAUUCUUGGGUGAUGUGGAGAAUGACAUCAAAAGCUUGAGUCUUAACGUUGUGAAGGCUGCUCUUGAUUUGCUAAGAUUGAUUUGCUCUUAUACAAAAUAUUUUCAUAUUAGUCUUGCGGGCCAGACAAGAAUAAUUUAUGUCCAUUUUAGGCAACAAAUGGUUAGGAAUAUGAUUUUGAUGGACAAUUUAUUUGUAGAAUGCAUUCAUGUAUCAUUUUAGGUAGUUUUGUAUGUCUUUGUUUAUAUUUAUGUGUUAUUUUACUAUAAAAUUAUUUCAACUUUUGUCAUAGGAAAAUUUUUAUGCAUUUUCUUAUCGUUUGACAUGAAUAUAAGGGCAUUAUUUUAUUAUCUCGCCCAAGGCAUUGAAAACUAAUGAACCAGCCCAUCAACAGAUUUGGCCAACUAUAAUUACUUAUAUUACAGUUGUUACAAAAAUACUCGAAUAACACAAGAACGUUUUUUUUAAACAUUUUCAUUAUAUUUCCACACAUAUAAUCCAAAUCUAGGCCGAAUUCUAAUCCAACGGUCGGAGACAGAUAUAUAGAUAUGUGUUUUCUAGAUCAAAGGCUCGCAAUAAUUAUUUAUGAUUUUUUUGCAUAAGUUUUAUCAUACAUACUUAUAAAGCUAGCAUUUUUUCUUGAAUCUCAUGCAUUUGAAACCCCCAUUCUUUUUUCCUUUCACCACAUUCAUUUGAAACUCCCAUGACUUUUCAAUUUUUUUAUAAUAAUAAUUAUAAUUUGGUAAUUAGGUUAAAUAAAUAUCAAAUCUAAAGUGUAUUCAUAUAUAAACUAAAUUUCAGUAUUAAAAUAAUAUCUUUAAUUUUACUUAUAAAAUUAUGUUUUUUUUUUAAUUUUUAACAUAUUAUACUUAAUUUAUUAGUUUUAAUAUAUUGUUGUAUGUAAACCAUUAUCAUUUUAAAGGUAUAAUUUUUGAACAAUUUGUAUAAAAUACUUAAAUUAUUAAUUAAAAUAUAACAUUAUAGACUCAACUUAAAUAUAAAUUUUAUUUAACUUAAACAACCCAAAAAUUAUUUUACAAAUAGUUAAAAGUGAUAAAUUGUAGUCUCUUUCUAAUAAUGAUUGUAAGUUGGUUAAUAAGGUUAAAUAAAUAUCAAACCUAAAGUGUAAUCAUAAAUAGACUAAAUUUCAAUUUUAAAAUAAUAUAUUUACUUCUAUUAAUAAAGUUAUAAAGUUAUGUUUUUAAAUUUUAACAUAUUAUAAUUAAUUUAUUAGAUUUAAAAUGUUGUUGCAUGUAAAUCAUUAUCAGUUUAAAGCUACAAUUUUUUAACAGUUUGGACAAAAUACUUAAAUUGUUAAUUUAAAUAUAACAUUACAAUGUCAAAUUAAAUAUAAAUUUCAGUUUCACUAAAAAAACCAAAUAAUAUUUUGUAAAUAGUUAAAAGUGAUAAAUUAUAAUGAUAAAUGCAAAAACUAAAUUGUAAUAUCAGUUAAACUAAAAUAUUUCCUAAAUAUAUUUAUAUAAUCGUUCAAAAUUUUCCAAUAAGCAGCUUAAAAUAACUUAUAAUAAAAAUAGUUAAAAAUAACUUUAUAUAAAUGAUUUUAUUCUUAUCUUUAAAAUCAAAAAAUAAUGUUUGAUGUUUUAAAUAAUUAUAAUGAUAGAAAUUAAAACAAUAAGCAAAUAAAUUUUAUAAAAUUAGUUAAAAAUAACAACUAUAAAUAAUAUUAAACCAUAUAUAAUAUUUAAUUUUAUUGAUGUGUAACUCGCGAGUAGAAAUCAUUCAAACGAUUGAGAUCAUGACGUUAUAAUAGAUUUAUAUAUUAUCAUAUAAUUCAAAAUGAUCAAUAUAUUAUAUCAAAUUAAUAUACGAAUUAUUAUAUCAAAUUUAACAGCAGCGUUAAUGUUAUAUUUUAAAAAAUAUAUAUUCGUAAAGACUUCAAUUAUAUAGGUGUUUCUGCGCAUUACAAUGUCAACUCAAAUAUAAAUUUCAGUUUCAUUUAAAAAAACUAAAGAAUAUUUUGUAAAUAAUUAAAAGUGAUAAAUUGUAGUGAUAAAAGUAAAAACUAAAUUGUAAUUUCAAUUUAAAUAAAAUAUUUCUUAAAUAUAUUUUUAUAAUCGUUAAAAGUUUUCAAAUAAAUAGCUUAAAAUAACUUACAAUAACAAUAGUUAAAAACAACUCUAUAUAAAUGAUUAUAUUGUUAGCUUUAAAAUAAAAAAACAAUGUUUGAUGUUUUAAAUAAUUAUAAUGAUAGAAAUUAAAACAUUAAGCAAAUAAAUUUUAAAAAAUUAAUUAUCAAUAAAAACAACUAUAAAUAACAUCAAAUCAUAUAUUAUAUUUAAUUUUAUUCAUGUGUAACUCGCGGGUAGAAGUCAUUCAAGCGAUUGAGAUUAUGAAGUUAUAAUAAAUGUAUAUAUUAUCAUAUAAUUCAAAAUAAUCAAUAUAUUAUAUCAAUUUAGUAUAUACAAAUUAUUAUAUCAAAUUUAAUAACAACGUUAUUGUUAUAUUUAAAAAAUCAUAUAUUUGUAACGACUUCAACUAUAUAGGUGUUUCUGCGCAAUGCGCGGGCAUUCGCCUAGUUUUCUAAUAAUUUGAUGUCAUCAGGAGAAGAUGCCAAAUUGGGCUUACCAGAAACCGGUAAUAUAAGAACAAAUAUAUAUUUUUUUAUAAAAAAAUGGUUGUCAUAUUUUUACAUAUAUUUUUACAGGGCUGGAGGGACACAGAGGCUUCCUAGGUUAAUUGGAAGCUCAAUAGCCAAAGAACUUAUUUUCACGGGACGAAAGUAACACCCAAACAAGCAUUGUCAUUUGGUACUAUGGGCAGAUGGUUAUGUUGCUUUAACAUGGAGUUGCAGAGAGAAGUUUGUCAUUUUAGUAACUAGGAUGGGAGGUGAUGAUGACAGGAAAGUAAGUAAGGGUAAAUUGGUUAUUUCGAGAUCACAGAGUGUAUUAUUGGUUUUGUAACUUAGUAUUAGACUUUUAAUUCUUAUACAAUUGAUUCAAAUUCAAUUUUUUGUAACUAUAUUUCUUACCCAUAAUAGCAACAUACUUACAUUUUGAUA